CAAACAAAAAGAAUCUAUCUCAGAUUGAAUAUGAAAAACCAUCGUCAGGUAAUGUGAUGGUUGUAUUGCUGCUGCUGCUGCUGCUGCUGCUGCUGCUGCUGCUGCUGCUGCUGCUGCUAUAUUUCCCUGAUCAGUUUUUGCUAUUAUAAUGUUGUACGGGGCAACAACAAUUCAAAUAGCAACUAUUAAUUUCUACUACUACAACAAAGAAAGAAAAUUUACAUGUAUGUAGUAGAGAAAAGAAUGUGGUGCGCAUUAUUAAUUU
rnacentral:misc_RNA from 1 species